CAUCACUUCGAGCACUGAAGAAACGCGAGAAGACAUCAUGGCGGGAUUCAUGAAAUAUGAAAGUAUCAGAGUGCCACUCCUCUCAUCAUAGAAAUUAAAGAUGGACAAGAGAUCAAAACACGUAACGCCCAGCAUUUUUGCUAUACUAAUACCAUCACACCUGGAUGGAGGGAAACGUGGACUAGAAUGCAGAAAAUUCAGACUGGGCAAGCUAAGGACGCCACAGGAGGAAAGGAGGAUACCGAGAUGGAAUUGGGAAACCUUCCUUAGGAUGCUUCUCUCCAGGAGCUCAGGGACAUGUUCCAGAUACACAUUGAGAUGCAGCAGGCACUAGACAGCCGUAUGGAGCAAGAGGCAGCUCGUCAGGAAGCCAGAUGGAAGUCCAUGUAUCAUCAGUUUAGUCUACUCCAACAAGAGGUACAUGUCCGCACCACUCCUGUACUUAAUCCAGGGCUUGGCAGUAGUAGCCAUGAUGACGCUGUGUCUCAUCCUUCCAUACAACAAACUCUAGUGUUCCAACAGAGUCCUAGUUGCAGACAACCAGUGGCAUCACCAGUUUUCCAGCAGUACAACUACCCUGGGCUAGGACAGCUGGCAGUACAAAGAGAGCUUCACCUGCAACAGCUAUCUGAGUUAGAUGACAUAGAGCACAGCCUUACAACAUUUGAAAGAAAAGCUGUGGUGUGUCAGUAGCCGACAACCGACUGGGCAGUUAGAUUAGUGCCCCUGCUGACCGGCAUAGCUAGGAGCGCCUAUGUACAUAUGGACAUUGCUGAAUCACUCGACUAUGAGAAAUUUAAAGUGACCAUUUUGAAUAAAUAUGACAUCAACUCUGAAAGCUAUCGCCUGCAGUUCAGGUCUUCAGAUGUAGGGAGGGAUGAAACCCCAAAGCAGUUAAUUGUAAGACUGAAAGAACUGUAUCACAUGGGUUCAGCCUCAUAACCGAACCAAAGAAGAAAUUGGGGAAGUGAUUGUUCUGGAACAAUUUCUGCGUAUUCUAGCCACUGACCUGCAGAUAUGGAUCAAAGAACGUGACCCAAAAACUGCUGCUGCAGCUUUGGUGGAUGUUUUUAUGUCAGCUUGACGAAAGAGCCCAGUAUGGACUAACAGCCAGUGGACGGGGUCCAAAGAAUCAAAGAGUCAGGCCAAGAUGACUUCAAUCUGGACCAAGACCACAAGUGAGGGUGAGAGUAUGGAGCACCAUAAAACUGAAGGUGACUAUGGUCAAUGAUGAGCAGGAUCUGCAGGAGCUUGAGAAUUUCAGCAUCUGGAAACUCGUGCAGUAUUUCAUUUGCGAACAGACUAACGAGACUACCGUGAGCGUCAGUAUCUUUAGCAACAAGACAUGUUUCCGAGUGGACCCCUCAGACUCACGGACGCUUUAUACAGUACAACUCAGUUGAUGGUUCAUCAGUUUUGCAGUGUGUUACCGUUAUGGCCCCCUGAUGGAGGAGCGAAGUAUCAACAUCCUGUCCUGGACAUUGCAGAUAUUCGGCCUUCUGCUGGUGCAUCCUGGAAUUCAGGUCCAGCAAGUGGCUUUUGUUUUCAUGGUGGCUGCAUUUUGCUCCAAGAACCUGGAGUACCAUUUUUCCAUGGCUUUCCAGCUGUAUCAGAAACUGAAGCCAAAGAAACUAGAACCAUGACAACUGCUCUCCGAAGAGGACUAUCAGAGACAGGGAGGUAGAGACUCAGAAAGCUCUAGAGGAACUGAGGAAAUAUUGCAGCAGACCAGAGUUAAACACAUGGAAGACUGUUUCUUGACUCCAGUCUCCUAAAAGAUAUGAGAGAGAUUAUUCUUGAGACAAAUUACAUUUAUACUGUUUAUAUAAAAAUGUAAAUGUAUUAUAUAAUGUAGUCCCUUUAUAAAGUUUCAUGAAAUGCUAUUUUUAUUUUUUUUUAUCAUCCACUGAUAAUGUCAGUAAAGUUUUUUUUGCACCAAAACUGUCAUAGUUUAAUAAUAAAUGAUAAUUUUCCACCUUGUUUCUGGCCCUCUGUCUGAAAUGCUUGGUUUUGGCCUCAGUGACUCCUUUAAACUUCAGUGUAAACGCCCACUGUUCUGAUUGGCCAAUAUCAUGCAGCCCCUCAAAUUCAGCCAUAUUUGAAACUCAAUCGGAAGAGAAUAAACAAGCUCUCCACAACAUUAUAAAACUAAAUUUCAGGUUUACACACAAUGCACAUCCAAUAUAUUGCAUCCGAACAUAUGAAAUAUUCAUGAAUGAAACUGUUUUAGAGUUGCGCGGUUUACAGGUACUAACGAAGUACCACGAUACCAAAAAAAUUACAAUGGUACGAUAUCAUCUUGUUACUAAUUUCGGUACUAUAUUACAGUAUGCUCUCAUUAGCAAAAUGAUAUGAGAUGUGACAGUUUUGAGAUAAAAUCAAUGACCAUUUGAAAAUAAAAUAAAAAAACCUUUGGAUAUGGCCAAGUGUGAUCUUUUAAACAGCAAAAGGAUGUAAUUUAAUUAAAUAAGUCACAUGCGCUGCACGCUACAGAAUGAACAAGAGGUGCCACUCUGCUCUAUCAUAUGAAACACACAGGCGCGCACACACAGGCGCACGCAUGCGCGCACGCUCACACAAAUGCAACACGCACUACUGGUGCUUAAUUUUCAUGCAGUGUGUUUAGAGUAUAAACGGCUGUUAACACUUAAAUGAACUUCUCUGGUGCAGCUCGGAGAUUUCAGCUUGAGGGUCGCAACGGGAGUAUCCCGGCAUUAAUGGGAAGCUUGAUAUAACUAACCCGAAAAACAGGACGAACUCAAAGGUCUGUCAUAAUAAAAGCUCUAUUCAAAUGGAUGUGUAAAAUUGAAAACAGAAAUAUAUAACUACUUUAUAAAAAUGUAAUAUUCAAAAAGUAGCAAUAAUACUCAUAAUUAUUUAAUAUUAAACAGUAUUAAUAUUAUUAUCUGUAAGCAUUAUCACAAACGCAAGCAGCGCUGUGCUACAGGUAAUCAGAUUUUUUUCAUUAAUGUUUUCAUUAAUAGGGUGAAGCUCUGUUGUGCAGCAUUUUAUUUUACCAAAAAUGAAAUUAAACUUUUUUUGUAAAAAAACAAAAAAAACAAAACAAAGCAUUGAUAUUUUUAUUUGAUUAAUACUGUAUGUAUCAAUUUGAUUAAACAACAUUUGAUCAUAACAUUUAAUUAAAACAUUUAACAUGGAAACGGAAAACGCAUAAUUUGAAUCUGUAAGACUUUAUGCAGUUCUUUUUAUCAAAUAAUUUUCUGUGAAAUUUCAGAAAUACUCAAAGCUAAUCUAAUGGAUAGUGGUGUACUUUUAGACGUAGAGUCAGGGCAAGCAGUUACUAAAAUAACCUCUCCUUCAGGGAGGUCGGCAUGCUCUUUAACGUUUGAGCAGCAAAAAGAGUUAUUACAGCUUGAGUUAGAGCGUGUAAAACAACAAAGUGAACAAGGCAACCUUGAGCUUCAGAAAUACAGUCUAUAUUUGAUUCAAGCUGGUAAACUUGGUAAUGAGCGUCCUUCUGAUUUUUCUUAGCGUGAUCCUUCAUUCGACACCGUUGGAAAUGUGCAGUUGUUACUGAAAUUUUAUGAGAAAGAUCCUGAUAUAUUUUUCACAUUGUUUGAGCAUGUGGCUGAUGCAAAAAGUUGGCCUGAUAAACAUAGGUCAAUGAGGCCAAUGAGGCCAGUGCCCAGGGGCCCUUGACUAGGUCUCGCGGCCCAUCAACUUUGAAAACAAAUGUUUAUAUAUGCUUAAAUGUGUGGGCCCCAGAGCUUAUACAAGGCCCCCUCAACAGGGCCCUGUGACUAUGACGGCCCCCAGCCCUCUUAUAGGACCCUUUUGCCUUCCUGUUUCUAAUAAAAAAAUUUG